UAAGCUUUAUGGAGCCCUUAAUAUAGCACAAGUGACAAGUGUUAGAAUUGUCACACUUUCUUCAUCCUUUCAAGAGUUGAGCAACACCCUCCCGACCUCGACUCCUCCUUUAUUCAACACAUCUGUUGGAGCCAAAGCAUCUUGAGCGACAGCAAAUCCCUCCUACACACUGACUACUUGUUUAGUGGAUGGUUCAACUCUUCUGAAACAUGCUAGAAUUCAGCUUUAUUUCUGUUCUAUGGGACCCUUGCAUGUGGAUCCUGUUGGGGAAUCCUUUUCUGCAGAUUCUGAUGCCCUCCAGCACACCGUUACAGCGCAGCUGGUGCAUGACCAGAGGAUUCUCCAUCGCCCCAGGAGUCUUAGUCUCAUUGGGGAUGAUGCAGCGCACAAAGUGAGGAUCAAAGGACACCAGGAAGCCCAGAGUUCUUCGGCUUAAGAACUACAGAUAAUGAAAUCACCAGCACACAGAGCCACACUGAACAAGACUUUCAGAAAGAUCCAUGUGAGAGCUUCACUCUUCAUCGUGCCCUUUCUGUGAGAGGAAAAGACAUGAAAAAGACAUUGGGUAGAAGGAUCCUGUUGGGGAAGCCCUUUCUGCAGAUUCUGAUGCCCUCCAGCACACCGUUACAGCGCAGCUGGUGCAUGACCAGAGGAUUCUCCAUCGCCCCAGGAGUCUUAGUCUCAUUGGGGAUGAUGCAGCGCACAAAGUGAGGGACAACCUACAGGGGAUUUCCCUGCAACUUACCUGAGUCAGCACCAGCAUAUCCAGCAAAAAGGUUAGCCAACAGUUUCAUGGUGGACUUCUGAUACAGGCCAACAACAGUCUCAUUAAGAGGAUCCUUGUUCUUCACCAGCCAGUUAUUGAUGUUGUAGUCAACAGUGCCAGCAUAGUGAACCAGGGAGAAAUGGGCCUCUGGUUUACCCUUGACAAUCCUGGGCUUCUGGAAGUUGUUUGAUUUCCCCAAGUGGUUGUCAUAAAGCUUUGCUUUAAAGGUUGCAUCACUGGCUUUGGGGAACAUGCACUCCUCUUCAAGGAUGGACAUAAUACCCAUAGGCUAAAAUUAACAGAAUAAAAUUAGUUGAACAGUU